UGGGGCGAUAGCCCGGUUCGGAAGCGGGCCAGAUGCGGUGGCCAAAGCCAUCGUGCGAUCGGUGCGCGCCAACC
rnacentral:tRNA from 4 species